GGCGGAUGGCGGCGGCGACCGGAGGCGCCGGGCGCGGCCACAGAAGGGCCGACGUGCGGCGGAUCCGCGUAGGCAGUGAUGCCCGAACAAACGGGGGCUUUGCCGCCGGCGGCUGGACGCGGCAGCGUUGGGGACGGACGACGCGUCAACGCGGGGCAGCAACAUGCUCUGGAUGCGAGCUCGUCCGUUUCAUGUGACGCCAUGGUGAGGAUCUCUCGAUCCUUCUUUCCAUAUGCUCCCCAUCACAUGCCUCCUCUCCUCCUCGUCCAAUCCCAUACACGGGAGCAGCGCUCGAGUGACGACGGUGGCUGGACGCAGGAACCGGCAGUGGCAGGGCCCACGCGCCUAGCGAUGGCCAUGGCUGGACGGCGCGGUGGAAGGCGGCGGCUGAACGAGCAGCCUCACCGGCUCGAUCUGUGGAUUCGGUGCCGGGAGAUUGUUCCACGACAAGAAGGCGCAUAGAUGCUUGGGGAUCUGGUGGUUGAAUUUGGUCAUGUGAAUGUCCUGGUCUUAUUUUUUUUAGAUUUAUUCUUUUCUAGGACGGUAAUCAUCUGGAUUGAGGCCAUGGGAAGCAAACAAAGCAGAAAAACGCCCCAAAACUAUUGCAAGUAAGGCUUCCAAAGUCCUACCCAUCUUAACUUGCAAGUUGCUAGAGAAGUGGCAGUCAACUAUGAACUUGCAGUUUUUUCAGAUAGCUUCAGUCAUUGUGUUUCUUCCCCAAGAUUGAGCUAUAUGCCGAUGAGGUCUGACCAGGGGAUUGAGAUAUUUCAAGUGUGCACUGGAGUUAUUGGAAGAUAAUUCCAUCAAUGAAUUCAUAACUUUUGCGACAUAAUAAGUUUAGUGGCUGUACCGAGAUGUAGAGUUUCUGCGGGAGCGUGAAGCUCGAUCUAAUUCCGCACCAUGACUAUGGUUGCAUAUUUGUUGUUCCGUUGAUCUUUAUGUUGACUAGGGUUGUCCAAAAGCUUAAUUUGGCCAUUUAUUGGAAGGAUUUAGCUAUUGAAGAGGAGGGCGGCAGGAUAUUUAUGGCUGGCGUGGACGAGCAGGGGAGGCAGACCGUGGGAGGAAGCAGCGGUGAGGCUAGAGUUGCCGAGAUGCUGGCGGCGUGGACAAGAAGCAGAGGUGCUGGCUCUAUUCUUUAUCUUUCCCUGUGAUGGCCUUAAUCCGGAGGUUUGGUAUGAUUUGACUGUGGGAUAUCAUGGAUAUAACAGAUUAUCCUUACCUUCACUACGACCCUAUAUUCGCCAUUUGACACCUCACUCCAAAGGCACCGCAAUCCCCAGAAGCAAAGUGUGAGGUUUCAAGUAUGGUGUCAAACAUGGAGGAGCCCCUUAUUGAGGGCAACAUUGAGAAGAUAGGAGGGGCAGGAGAUAGGAUGGUAGUGAUUGAGGUCAAGAAGCGGCUGUACCGUGUUGGGAAUCUUGCCGUUGGAUUUCAUGAAUUAUUAUAGAUGUGUGAGUAGAAGAAAUUUAAAAGGGAAGCAUAGUUGAAGACAAUGAACACUCAUUGUGGUUGAUGUGAACAAUGAAGAGGUGUUUCAUAUGGACUAAUUUGUAUAUAGAUGGAGUGAUUUUGAGCUUCUGAUGAGGUCCUUAUAUUAUAUUAAAAGGGAAC